rnacentral:lncRNA from 1 species
UCAGAGGUGGGGUGGCCAAGUGUGGUGGCACUUGCCUGUAAUCCGAGCACCUGGGAGGCUGAAGCGGGCUCACCAAGUCUGCGGCUGCAGGGUUAGCUGAGGGUAAACCUAAGCAGUGUAUUGAGACCCUGCCUCGAAAAGGCAUCAAGAGAAGGGGGAAGGGAGAGAAUGGUGGAAUUAGGGGUAACAUGACCCCUUUCCACGUUUAUCUGCCAGGAAACAUGCCUUUUGCAGUGGUAACCAGAAAGAAUGGCUAUCACCAUACCCUUCCCCUAAGUUCAUCCCCACGAACUCCUCCAGGUUGCCCUGGGUGCUGUCAUGUGGGUCUAAAGGCAGAAAAGUGGUGUCUCCAGGAGGGCAGGUGUAAAGGAAACAGCUUGAAGAAGGUUGGGAUCAUCAAGAAGAAAGCCACCAAGCUGGCAUGGUAAGUAGAGGCCCAGCCCCAGCUGCUCAGGGUCACUUCCAGGGCUGGUGCAACUCAGCAUCCUGAGCUCCUAGGAGGACAGAGCCCGGCGUUGCCCUCUGAAGUAAACUGAUAGAAACAUUUGACACCAACUCAACCCUGGCUAGGGCUCAAAGCCACUCUACAUGUCUCCAUCCUAGUUAUCAAUGGGAUAAGUAACAGCUCAGGAGACUUUGGCAGUGCCAGAACUACUCAUUCAUUCCCGCCAACCUCACUCCCACCAUCCUCCACUCCCACCCUUGGGCCCUCCUGAUGCCCAAAGGUGGCUUAGACUUCAAGUUAAGAGUGCCUCUGUUGAGAAGCCCUCCCGGAUCUCCCAUCCUAAGCAGAGUGAGUUGACAGCCUUUCAUGAGCUUGGUCUGCCACUGUCACUGUUUCAU